UACGUAGGGUGCGAGCGUUAAUCGGAAUUACUGGGCGUAAAGCGUGCGCAGGCGGUGAUGUAAGACCGAUGUGAAAUCCCCGGGCUUAACCUGGGAACUGCAUUGGUGACUGCAUCGCUCGAGUAUGGCAGAGGGGGUAGAAUUCCACGUGUAGCAGUGAAAUGCGUAGAGAUGUGGAGGAAUACCGAUGGCGAAGGCAGCCCCCUGGGUCAAUACUGACGCUCAUGCACGAAAGCGUGGGGAGCAAACAGG
rnacentral:rRNA from 1 species